CGCCAGAGCUUUCACGCCAGAGCUGUCCGGAGCUGACUGACUGGCUUUAGAGCUGCCCGCCAGACCUUCUCGCCUGAGCUGUAAGGCAGAGCUUCCUGAGCUGUCCGCCUGUGCGGAUUCUCCUGCUCUGUUUAUCAAGAGCUGUCCUCUUGUUUUUCUUUUUCUUUUGUUUGUUUUACCACAUUUUGUGGUUCUGUUCCAUGGCACACAUCCUUUGGAUUUCCUUUGUGAUUGUGUCUUUGGGCCUUGUUUUUUCCUUGGGCUUGCCCAAUUUUUUUCCUUUCUC
rnacentral:lncRNA from 1 species